ACGGGGGGAGGAAAGUAGGGGAUCGCAAGACCUCUCGCUUUCGGAGUGGCCGAUAUCGGAUUAGCUAGUAGGUGAGGUAAAGGCUCACCUAGGCGACGAUCCGUAGCUGGUCUGAGAGGACGACCAGCCACACUGGGACUGAGACACGGCCCAGACUCCUACGGGAGGCAGCAGUGGGGAAUUUUGGACAAUGGGGGAAACCCUGAUCCAGCCAUGCCGCGUGGGUGAAGAAGGCCUUCGGGUUGUAAAGCUCUUUCAGCUGGAAAGAAAUCGUACUUAUUAAUACUAGGUGCGGAUGACGGUACCAGCAGAAGAAGCACCGGCUAACUACGUGCCAGCAGCCGCGGUAAUACGUAGGGUGCGAGCGUUAAUCGGAAUUACUGGGCGUAAAGCGUGCGCAGGCGGCUUUUUAAGCCAGAUGUGAAAUCCCCGGGCUCAACCUGGGAACUGCGUUUGAAACUACAAAGCUAG
rnacentral:rRNA from 1 species